AUUGAACGCUGGCGGCAUGCUUUACACAUGCAAGUCGAACGGUAACAGGCCUUCGGGUGCUGACGAGUGGCGAACGGGUGAGUAAUGCAUCGGAACGUGCCCAGAGGUGGGGGAUAACGCAGCGAAAGCUGUGCUAAUACCGCAUGUGAUCUGAGGAUGAAAGCGGGGGACCAGGCAGCAAUGUUUGGCCUCGCGCCUUUGUAGCGGCCGAUGUCAGAUUAGGUAGUUGGUGGGGUAAAGGCCUACCAAGCCGACGAUCUGUAGCUGGUCUGAGAGGACGACCAGCCACACUGGGACUGAGACACGGCCCAGACUCCUACGGGAGGCAGCAGUGGGGAAUUUUGGACAAUGGGCGCAAGCCUGAUCCAGCAAUGCCGCGUGCGGGAAGAAGGCCUUCGGGUUGUAAACCGCUUUUGUACGGAACGAAAAGGCUCUGGCUAAUACCUGGGGCUGAUGACGGUACCGUAAGAAUAAGCACCGGCUAACUACGUG
rnacentral:rRNA from 1 species